UCUUGCCUCUUUUCUCUGAUGAAAUCUAUUUCUUUUUCGUACCGAAACUUUUACUUCACUUAUGCGAACGACUUCAACUCUCUCUUCCUGCAGGAGAACCUUGAGAAAGUUGCAGUUGAUGAUGUGUUGAGAAAAGAUGUAGGGUUUCCACUUGAUGUGUGAGAAAUGAAACACGAAAAAGUUUGAUGGAGAAGUUAUCAGAGAAUUUUCCUUCCCUACUGACAGUUGGUUUGACCUCAAAUGGAAGUUGGAUUUUUAAUGAGAUUGUUUGAAAGAGAGUUAGCUUCAAAAAAUACAAGGCAUGUCUUUGGGUAUAAGGGCGUUCAUAUCUAUCUAAUGGAUUCUGAUAAUUCCCAUCUCAGUUGCAUUUACUAGACAAUGUUGCUUGAUCUUGAUCACUUAUUGGUGUUUGGCAUCAGAUAUUAAGCUUUUGAAGAAUUUUCUAUCCUCUUUUCAAGUGGUAAUUCGAAUGGUGGAAUGUAAGAUUCUUUUUUUUAGGUUCAUAUUUGACAUGAUUAUGCAACAAAUUUUUUCCGAAAAUUGGCAGUUUAAGUGACAAAUUUUUCUGACUUAUGUGAAUUGAAUUGAGAGGUACAUUGUGACGAAAAAUAGAUUGAAUCAUAGAAAAAUAGAUUGUCCAACUGUGGUGUUUGUGUAUUUGGAGUUAUAUUCAAUCUAUCCGGAUUGUUGCAUCCAUUUCAUGUAUUUGCCUCUGGGAAAUGCAAGUGUUGUUUAAGAGUUCCGCGAAAUACUUGUUACUGGAAUGGAAAUACUAGAAGUCGUAGAACUGCUAUGUAGUUGUCAAUGAAUGUUUUCAUCGAGCAAUCAAUCUAAAUCAUAAAUUAUCUUUAUUGUAUAUAUAUGUUUUCCCUCGCUAGUUCAAUUUCCUUAGAUAACUUGAUUUAGAUUAAUUCUACAAAUUGUGAAUUCAAGGAAGUGGUGGAAUACCUCAAAGCACCCCGGGAAGUUUGCACGCCUUGGAGGAAAGCUGCUCAAGGGAUUUUAAUGAUUUACAUCUAAAACUGCUCAUCGAAUUGAUACUUUUAUUCAUAGGAUGGAUUUCCAAGACUUUAGUUUGAAUGACAAGAGGUGGAUAGACUGCCAAGAGACAAUGAUGCUUUCACUACAGGAGACCAAAAGUUCAUAGACUUUGCGAGUCGGGAUUUAGAACCAAGGCAGAAAAUUGUGUCCUUGUAAGGAUUGCAAUAACAAUAACAGAUAUCUUGUGUCUGAAGUGCACGGACAUAUUAUGUGGAAUGGGUUUAUGCCGGCAUAUGUCUAUUGGAUAUACCAUGAAGAAGGGGAGGACCAGGUGAGGGAAACUUCUGAUACUUGAAAUGUGGUGCAGGACGACCAUGACGACGAAACGUUUGAUUUGCUGCAAGAAAUGAACUAUGAUGCCUCCAAUUUUUACUUGCUGUUAGGACUUCUUCUCGUUGCAAAAGUUGAGUUACGAAACUGCAGCUGAGUUACGAAACUAUUCCGACAUCCGGUACUUCCCAUUUGGGAACACAGUACAGUUCAAACUUUUAAUCUUUGUGAACUUUUAAGUCUUUCAUGAUUCCUAUUUUUAAUCUUUUGUAAACUUUUAAGAGUGUUUCAAGGCACUCGUUUUCUUGAACCAUUUCCAUGAACCAUAAUUUAACCGGAGUGCUGUAAGGAUCUAAGUUGCACAUUUCACUGUGAAGUCUUUUGUACAUACUGUCGGCUGGUUAAGGAAUCUCGAAAGGGAAGAGUAGUAGUCGAAAUUCCUCAACUGAAAACAACAUUUUCUUUUUUUCAAAACGACUGAUCAAGAAUUUGAUAGCAAAUCAAAGUGUUAAAAUUUCGCAAAUUCUUAUUAAAUUAAU